GUCGCCAGCCCACAAUGGAUAAGGACAAGAGACAGCAGUCGCUCAAUUACCAUGACAUAGUCGUACGGUGAAUGUUGUGUUUGGAGUCCAAUGUUAACUGUAAGACUGUGUCUUGGUGGUUGCCAGCCAAGCAACAAACGAUGACCACCCAAAACGGAAGCCAAAAUCGCUCAGUGCCGCUCGCAGUGCCCCACAAAAUAAGUAUGCCUUAAAACCGGCUUAUCAGACGUCACAAACAGACAUGUCAGACAGGCCAAGGCAGGGCAGGGCCGCCACCCUUAGCACUAAACUGACAGCUUGACAGGCGUCUGUUCAGCCAAGAAACAACCUGGAAUAAUAUUUCAUUUCGCGAAUUAAUCAUGCAUAUGAUGCGUGCUUAUUAGCCCAUUUUGUGUGGAUAUGGGAGGUGCUUACAUAUGUACAUAUGUUUGUGUUCUGUAUAUAUGAUUGUGUUCUGACUGUGGAUUUUCAAAGACUUGCGCCUGGUUGCGUUUUUAAGCCGCUCCCAUUUCUGUGGUCGCUGCAAGAACGCUGAUAAGGCGCCAAGUGUCAAACCUAUGUGAACGAGGACAGCCACCAUUGGCGCUGCCAGUGGAGCAGCAACCACAAUAAAACGUGCGUCCCCCAAAACCAUGAUUCAGCUGUCAACGUUUGCACUGGCAACUCCUGUAGUUCUGCCCUAAUGGGACCGGCUGUGGCUGAUGCUGAUGUUGAUGCCACUGCGCCCAGU
rnacentral:sRNA from 1 species